GAUGAAGAACGUAGCGAAAUGCGAUACUUGGUGUGAAUUGCAGAAUCCCGUGAACCAUCGAGUCUUUGAACGCAAGUUGCGCCCGAAGCCAUUAGGCCGAGGGCACGCCUGCCUGGGCGUCACACGUCGUUGCCCCCCCAUCUACUCCUUCGGGAUUGCGGGGGGCGGAUGAUGGCCUCCCGUGCGCCUCGCCGCGCGGUUGGCAUAAAUGCCAAGUCCUCAGCGACGCACGCCACGACAAUCGGUGGUUGCGAAACCUCGGUUGCCCGUCGUGUGCGGUCGUCGCGCAUCGAGGGCUCGAAAAAAUUGCCGGGUUCCGGCUCGGCUUUCAACGCGACCCCAGGUCAGGCGGGGUUACCCGCUGAAUUUAAGCAUAUCAAUAAGCGGAGGA
rnacentral:misc_RNA from 1 species